rnacentral:rRNA from 1 species
GACGAACGCUGGCGGCGUGCUUAACACAUGCAAGUCGAACGGAAAGGCCCUGCUUUUGUGGGGUGCUCGAGUGGCGAACGGGUGAGUAACACGUGAGUAACCUGCCCUUGACUUUGGGAUAACUUCAGGAAACUGGGGCUAAUACCGGAUAGGAGCUCCUGCUGCAUGGUGGGGGUUGGAAAGUUUCGGCGGUUGGGGAUGGACUCGCGGCUUAUCAGCUUGUUGGUGGGGUAGUGGCUUACCAAGGCUUUGACGGGUAGCCGGCCUGAGAGGGUGACCGGCCACAUUGGGCCUGAGAUACGGCCCAGACUCCUACGGGAGGCAGCAGUGGGGAAUAUUGCACAAUGGGCGGAAGCCUGAUGCAGCAACGCCGCGUGUGGGAUGACGGCCUUCGGGUUGUAAACCGCUUUCGCCUGUGACGAAGCGUGAGUGACGGUAAUGGGUAAAGAAGCACCGGCUAACUACGUG